AUUGAACGCUGGCGGCAUGCCUUACACAUGCAAGUCGAACGGCAGCACGGGUGCUUGCACCUGGUGGCGAGUGGCGAACGGGUGAGUAAUACAUCGGAACGUACCUUAUCGUGGGGGAUAACGCAGCGAAAGCUGUGCUAAUACCGCAUACGCCCUGAGGGGGAAAGCGGGGGAUCGAAAGACCUCGCGCGAUUAGAGCGGCCGAUGCCUGAUUAGCUUGUUGGUGGGGUAAAAGCCCACCAAGGCGACGAACAGUAGCUGGUCUGAGAGGACGAUCAGCCACACUGGGACUGAGACACGGCCCAGACUCCUACGGGAGGCAGCAGUGGGGAAUUUUUGACAAUGGGGGCAACCCUGAUCCAGCAAUGCCGCGUGAGUGAAGAAGGCCUUCGGGUUGUAAAGCUCUUUUGUCAGGGAAGAAACACCGGCUCUAACACAGUCCGGGAAUGACGGUACCUGAAGAAUAAGCACCGGCUAACUACGUGCCAGCAGCCGCGGUAA
rnacentral:rRNA from 1 species